rnacentral:rRNA from 1 species
GCAAGUCGAGCGGCAGCGGGAAGUAGCUUGCUACUUUGCCGGCGAGCGGCGGACGGGUGAGUAAUGUCUGGGAAACUGCCUGAUGGAGGGGGAUAACUACUGGAAACGGUAGCUAAUACCGCAUGACCUCGAAAGAGCAAAGUGGGGGACCUUCGGGCCUCACGCCAUCGGAUGUGCCCAGAUGGGAUUAGCUAGUAGGUGAGGUAAUGGCUCACCUAGGCGACGAUCCCUAGCUGGUCUGAGAGGAUGACC